rnacentral:tRNA from 1 species
AUUUUUAUAGUUUAAUAAAAACAUUACUUUUUCAGAGUAAAAAUAUAAAUUUUAUUAUUAAAAAUA